UACGAAGGGGGGCUAGCGUUGUUCGGAAUUACUGGGCGUAAAGCGCGCGUAGGCGGACCAUCAAGAUCGGGGGGUGAAAUCCUGGAGCUUAACUCCAGAACUGCCUUCGAUACUGUUGGUCUUGAGGUCGGGAGAGGUGAGUGGAACUGCGAGUGUAGAGGUGAAAUUCGUAGAGAUUGGGAAGAACACCGGUGGCGAAGGCGGCCAACUGGACUGGUAUUGACGCUGAGGCGCGAAAGCGUGGGGAGCGAACAGG
rnacentral:rRNA from 1 species